rnacentral:tRNA from 1 species
GGUGUUAUAGUUUAAUAAAAACUUAAGAAUGCAAUUCUUACAUUAAAAUAUUCUUUUUGGCACUU